CCCUAGCCCUGAUGGGAGCGGCAUCCUUUUGUGCCGGGGUUUGGCACAAAAGAUAUAGCGGACAGCAGGAACGAGC
rfam:Flavobacterium plurextorum strain CCTG 60112 WGS0045_contig_1, whole genome shotgun sequence.